rnacentral:rRNA from 1 species
ACGCUCGACACCUACGGGAGGCAGCAGUGAGGAAUAUUGGUCAAUGGGCGCUAGCCUGAACCAGCCAAGUAGCGUGAAGGAUGAAGGCUCUAUGGGUCGUAAACUUCUUUUAUAUAAGAAUAAAGUGCAGUAUGUAUACUGUUUUGUAUGUAUUAUAUGAAUAAGGAUCGGCUAACUCCGUGCCACAGCCGCGGUAAUCUGAGCGGGCUGGCAAGGC